rnacentral:lncRNA from 1 species
GGAGAACCUGUACUGGCCCGCGUCCGGCUCGGUGGCUGGGGAGGGGGUUGCGGCUUCAGGAGGCGGGUCUCUCGCUUUCGUGCACCUUUACUAGGAACCUUUACGCCACUCGCCGCGGCGGACUCCUGGUCGGAGAGUCUGACCGCGAGAUUCCUGGGCCGGGGCACUGCGUGGGCAUCGGCCUAUCGAAGUCAUACGUUACAAAAUUUCCUUUCCCUCACCUUGCACGAAGGAAUAAGAUCUUUGGGAAACCCGGGAGUGGAGAGUGCGAAUGCAGGUCCCCGGAUUGACAAAACAAUCUGAGAGAAGUGCAUGCGUGCUUUGCACGUCCGGCGGAGCAGGAGAGCCCGCUCAACAGCCUAGCGGCAGACUAGGGGAUAGUUGGAAGACUGAAGCUGUGGAGUCGGGGUUCUGGGAUUUUCAAGUGGAUGUUUGGCUGUAGAUUCUGGGGAAAGGUAAAUCAAGGUGGGUGUGCUCAGGCUUCCCAGCUUGUUGGAAGUGUCCUUCCCAUGUUUAGUAGAUUAUAGCAUAUAAGUAAUAUGGAAUAUUUAAGAUUACACGCACACAAAAGCAAAAAAAAAAAAAAUCUACCGGUCAGGGUCGUGGGGAAGGGAAUGUAGGGAACCGAGGCAGUGAUAGAGUCAGUCGAGUUCCUCUUCCAGGGCUCGGUUCAAUUCCCUUCUCUCCUAUGCUUCCAGUCCUUUCUAAGGCAUCUAGAGACCAACAGGUCCUCACUUUAGUUGUGUCUCAGAGAGGUUCUCCCGCUGACGGGACUUGCAUGCAUCUCUGGACACACUUCCUCCCUCCCCGAAAUUAUCUUUGAUUUCUUUUCAACAAGGCAGCCGGCUCUCUUGUUUGUCUGCCUUUUAAUUACUUAUUUUCUUUCCCUCUAGAAGACCGUGUGUGCUCUGACCCUCUGUUGCUCAAGCAUCAAAUUGAAGGACGAGCCGUAUUAAGUGUAAAGGUUUAUAAUAAUUUAAGUAUUCAUAGAAUGCAGAACAAUAAGAUGUAGGAAAUACAAUUUGCAUAAUAAAUAUCAAUAUCACAACAGCUAAAACAAACCAUGACAAAUUAUAUGUGGCUAAAUGACCAAGAGAUUACUGAAUGUAAAUUGCUGAAUCUGAACUAUAGUCUAGAAGAGCUGUACCAAGCCCUCUGUCCUCAUGUUGCAAAUAAAUUAAAAAUAAAUAAAUAAAUAUCAAAAGGAAGU